GAUCAGCAGCAUCAUUUCCAGCAACAGUUGCGCCUUGGUGGGUCAGUUGCAGUGGGAGGAGAUAUGAGGGUGGUUCUCCAGGUUUGUAGAAAUGGGAAAGUCUGACAAUUGAAUUAGUAGUUUACACUCUGAAACAUAUGUUGUCCCUUGAACGUGUGCUGUAAAGCAUUCUGUAAUAAUUUUUUUUUUUUAGGGCACUCAGCUAAGUUUGGCAGCUACUCAUUAAUGAAUCUGGAGAGCAACACCAUUAUGGACAUUCAACUUGUUCAGAGCAAUGAAGUAGGCGGCAGUUACCACAUGGAGAAGGAGUGACUCAAAAGAUGCCUAGAUCAUCUGGAGGCAAACGGAUUUAAGGCGGAUUACAUUGUUACGGACCGCCAUCCACAGAUCCAGAAAUAUCAGAGGGAACGGAACAUCACGCAGUUCUAUGACGUCUGGCACUUUGAGAAAGGUUUGUCUAAGAAACUGGAGAAAGCAUCGCACAAAGAAGACAUUCUUAAGAAAUGGCUGCAGAGCAUCAAGAACCAUGUGUACUGGUGCGCUACGUCAUAAACCACUGGACCGGAAAAAGUGACGAAGUGGACAUCGCUGCUAAAUCACUUGCAAAAUAUUCAUGAUCAUGAAGACCCCCUUUUCCCCAAAUGUCUGCAUCCUGAACGAGCCUCGAGGGACCCCAACAAAUGGCUACAACCUGGUAUGUGCCAAAUUAACAUUACUCAGAAAAUCCACAGUGCUAAAAUUAUGCCACUGAUAUUUCACCAUGUGUUAUUUUUUCACUCAAGGGUCAGUUGCACUUCACAACGCUGAGAAACUACUGCUUAACAAACAAGUCCUGAA